UCGAUGAAGAACGCAGCGAAAUGCGAUAAGUAAUGUGAAUUGCAGAAUUCAGUGAAUCAUCGAAUCUUUGAACGCACAUUGCGCCCGCUGGUAUUCCGGCGGGCAUGCCUGUUCGAGCGUCAUUAUGACCAAUCAAGCUCUGCUUGGCCUUGGGGCCCGCUGUACCGGCGGCCCUUAAAAUCAGUGGCGGUGCCGUCUGGCUCUAAGCGUAGUAAUACUUCUCGCUACAGGGUUCAGCCGUCCACCCGCCAGAACCCCCAACUUUCUUAGGUUGACCUCGGAUCAGGUAGGGAUACCCGCUGAACUUAA
rnacentral:rRNA from 1 species